UUAUGUGUCCAAAUGCAUCUGCGGACUUUCACAAAAUCAAAUGCAAGUAUGGAAAGUGAAAAUAUCCAAGGCAUAUGUACAGAUGAAAAAGAAAAACCCUUCUAAUUUGCAAUGGAGAACAUCUGCAACAAAAGUCGGCUCACCUUUGCUGGAAAGAACUGCAAUGGUACUUUAAAAACUUGCCAAAUGAUUCCAAUAUGAAGCUGGGGCUUUGAACCUUUGGUUUCCUAAGAGAUUAAACACACGCAAAAAAUUAAUUACCAUUAAAUGAAACACAUGCUAUAAUUAAGGCAGCUACCUAAGCCGUCAGCCCAGAG